UGGGUAAGAGAGUAGGUGAGAGGGGAGUAGAAUCAGGUGUGUAGCGAAAAAUGUAGUAGAUAUCUGGAAUAUACCGAUGAAGAAGGCAGCUCCCUGGCAUCAUGACGAUCUGAGGUGAAAAAGCGUGAGCAGCAAACAGGAUUAGAUACCGUAGUAGUCCACGUAGUAAAUGAUGUCUACCAGUCGGUGUGUCUGUUGAAGGGUUUGUGGAGCAGUUAACGCAAUUAGUAGACCGCGGGAGGAGUACGGCCGCAAGGUUAAAACUCAAAUGAAUUGGGGGGGGCCCCCACAAGCGGUGGAGCAUGUGUUUUAAUUUGAUGCAAGAAGAACAACCUUACGUGGUCUUGAGUUACACAUAAUUCACUAGAGAUAGAGUACCUUCUUGAGGAAGUAUGAUACAGGUGCUGCAUGGUUGUCGUCAGCUGUUGUGGUGAGAUGUUGGAAUUAGUCCCGCAACGAGCGCACCCCUUUUCCUUAGUCACCAGCACUUGGGGUGGGAUCUAUAAGGAUACUGCCAGAUACAAAGGGGAGGAAGGGGGGGGAGAUGUCAUGUUAUCAUGCCCCUUACGCCCAGGUACACACACGUGACACAAGGGUUGGCACAAAGGGGCGAUACACAGAGAUGGAAUGAAUAUCUCAAAAAGCCAAUUAUUGUCCGGAUUGGAGUCUGCAACUCGACUCCA
rnacentral:rRNA from 1 species